rnacentral:rRNA from 1 species
GAUGAACGCUGGCGGCGUGCCUAAUACAUGCAAGUCGAGCGAAUGGAUUAAGAGCUUGCUCUUAUGAAGUUAGCGGCGGACGGGCGAGUAACACGUGGGUAACCUGCCCAUAAGACUGGGAUAACUCCGGGAAACCGGGGCUAAUACCGGAUAACAUUUUGAACCGCAUGGUUCGAAAUUGAAAGGCGGCUUCGGCUGUCACUUAUGGAUGGACCCGCGACGCAUUAGCUAGUUGGUGAGGUAACGGCUCACCAAGGCAACGAUGCGUAGCCGACCUGAGAGGGUGAUCGGCCACACUGGGACUGAGACACGGCCCAGACUCCUACGGGAGGCAGCAGUAGGGAAUCUUCCGCAAUGGACGAAAGUCUGACGGAGCAACGCCGCGUGGGUGAUGAAGGCUUUCGGGUCGUAAAACUCUGUUGUUAGGGAAGAACAAGUGCUAGUUGAAUAAGCCGGCACCUUGACGGUACCUAACCAGAAAGCCACGGCUAACUACGUGCCAGCCGCCGCCGUAA